AACGAACGCUGGCGGCAUGCCUAACACAUGCAAGUCGAACGAUACCUUCGGGUCUUGUGUCGCACGGGUUCGUAACGCGUGGGAACCUUCCCUUAUGUUCGGAAUAACUCCCCGAAAGGGGUGCUAAUACCGGAUAAUGUCUUCGGACCAAGGAUUUAUCGCCUUUGGGUGGGCCCGCGUUGGUUUAGCUAGUUGGUAGGGUAAAAGCCUACCAAGGCGACGAUCCAUAGCUGGUCUGAGAGGAUGAUCAGCCACACUGGGAAUGAGACACGGCGCAGACUCCUACGGGAGGCAGCAGUGGGGAAUAUAGGACAAUGGGCGAAAGACUGAUACAGCAAGGCGGAGAGAGUGAUGAAGGGGGUAGGGUUGUAAAGCUAUUUUACAGGGGAUGAUAAUGACAGAACCGGGAGAAUAAGCUCCGGCUAACUCCGU
rnacentral:rRNA from 1 species